GGGCAAUGACGAGUAAAGAAGUCAUGCACCACUCUGAUUUUGCUAAUCAGUGAUGAAAAUGCUUUCUCAAACCCAUAUGAUCUGAGCCC